AGGAAAUUUGAGAGGAGCUGUCCUUAGUACGAGAGGACCGGGAUGGACGCACCGCUGGUGUACCAGUUGUUCUGCCAAGGGCAUCGCUGGGUAGCUAUGUGCGGACGGGAUAAGUGCUGAAAGCAUCUAAGCAUGAAGCCCCCCUCAAGAUGAGAUUUCCCAUUCCGCAAGGAAGUAAGAUCCCUGAAAGAUGAUCAGGUUGAUAGGUCUGAGGUGGAAGUGUGGCGACACAUGGAGCUGACAGAUACUAAUCGAUCGAGGACUUAACCACAUUU
rnacentral:rRNA from 1 species